UUCUAAUGAUGAGCUUUCCAUGCUAAUACUGAUGCACCAGAAUUUGGCUGUCACUCUGGGUGUCAGUCAGUUCAACUAAACUUCUCAACUAAACUUGCAGUGU